GGGAUUGUGGCUCAGAAGUAGAGCGCUUGCCUGGCAUGCAUGAGGCACUGGGUUCAAUCCUCAGCACCA
rnacentral:tRNA from 1 species